AGCAGUGGGGAAUAUUGGACAAUGGGCGCAAGCCUGAUCCAGCCAUGCCGCGUGUGUGAAGAAGGCCUUAGGGUUGUAAAGCACUUUCAGGAGUGAGGAAGGGCUUAUAGUUAAUACCUGUAUGUUUUGACGUUAACUCCAGAAGAAGCACCGGCUAACUCUGUGCCAGCAGCCGCGGUAAUACAGAGGGUGCGAGCGUUAAUCGGAAUUACUGGGCGUAAAGCGCGCGUAGGCGGUUUGUUAAGUCGGAUGUGAAAUCCCAGGGCUCAACCUUGGAAUGGCACCCGAUACUGGCAGGCUAGAGUACGGUAGAGGGGUGUGGAAUUUCCUGUGUAGCGGUGAAAUGCGUAGAUAUAGGAAGGAACACCAGUGGCGAAAGCGAC
rnacentral:rRNA from 1 species